rnacentral:rRNA from 1 species
UACGAAGGGGGGCUAGCGUUGCUCGGAAUCACUGGGCGUAAAGGGUGCGUAGGCGGGUUUUUAAGUCAGGGGUGAAAUCCUGGAGCUCAACUCCAGAACUGCCUUUGAUACUGAAGAUCUUGAGUCCGGGAGAGGUGAGUGGAACUGCGAGUGUAGAGGUGAAAUUCGUAGAUAUUCGCAAGAACACCGGUGGCGAAGGCGGCGACCUGGGUCGAGACUGACGCUGAGGCACGAAAGUGUGGGGAUCAAACAGG